UCAAUGAUAUCUAAUCAUAACACUGUGAACUUAAAUGAACUGAAUUUGGGGAUGAUUCUUUUAAAGAUCUCCCCAAAAUUUUAAACACUAUAAUUUUUAAGCAGAGUUAAUUAUGAAAAUAAUUUAAAACAACUUUUAGCAACGGAUCUCUAGGUUCUCGCAACGAUGAAGAACGCAGCGAAUUGCGAAAAGUAAUGUGAAUUGCAUAAUUCCGUGAAUCAUCAAAUCUUUGAACGCAUAUUGCGCUAGCUGGAACUCCGGCUAGCAUGCCUGUUUGAGUCUCAGUUUAAAUCUCACUCUUAAAAAAAAGGUGGAUAUGGGUAAUGGGGAAUUCUUUCCCUUACCUUAAAAUUAUGAGUGCUAAACCAAGUACAAAAAUAGAGCCAGUCCGAAAGGAAUGUCUAUUUUGUAACUAGUUCUAACCCUCUAACUAAAAUUGAAUU
rnacentral:misc_RNA from 1 species